rnacentral:lncRNA from 1 species
AGACAGCCGUGAUCAGAGCCCCGGAAUAGCAGCUUGCGUGCCUGUCCCCAUCUUAGAGAGACAUCUGACCCCUGGUCCCCUGUGGAGCCCCUGCCGGGACCAUUAACCCAUUGGCUGCUGGCACCACCCCCACCUCCGCCUCCCGCGCACCUGCAUCUGUCAAUCCGGUCAGUUGGUUUCACGCUUGUGGGGGAGGGGGAGGGAGAAGGAGGGGAGCAAAGAGCAUGAGGGUCCCCACGGGGUAACCCCAGCUCCAGCAGCCUCCAGGGCCAGCUGUGCGGGGGAGGGGUGUAGGAGGCAGGAGGCGGCAGCCUGGGCUCCUGGGGCUCGCGGGGGUCGGGGAUGGUUUCCCCAACAUUUAUCUCACCCCUUCUGGAUGGCCGCGUGGUUCAGAGCCUGCAUGGGCUUCAGGAUCCUGCUGUCAUUGCCUGGGGUUCACAGGGUUCUGCUGCGGCCAGAGGAGCAGAGCAUGGAGACCGUGGCCUCUGCUCCCCGAGCCCCGCUCCCCACCCUCAUUCUGUCUCGUCCCUAACCUGCCUGGGGCAGAGACAUUUGACUGUUAGUUACUGUUACUGUUUGCAGGGGCCAUUCUGGGGCUUUUCACUUGUCCUUCACAUUAAACACCUAG